rnacentral:rRNA from 1 species
CAGUCGCCGCGGUAAUACAGAGGGUGCGAGCGUUAAUCGGAUUUACUGGGCGUAAAGCGUGCGUAGGCGGCUUUUUAAGUCGGAUGUGAAAUCCCUGAGCUUAACUUAGGAAUUGCAUUCGAUACUGGGAAGCUAGAGUAUGGGAGAGGAUGGUAGAAUUCCAGGUGUAGCGGUGAAAUGCGUAGAGAUCUGGAGGAAUACCGAUGGCGAAGGCAGCCAUCUGGCCUAAUACUGACGCUGAGGUACAAAAGCAUGGGGAGCAAACAGGAUUAGAUACCCCUGUAGUCCCUGUCUCUUAUAC